GAGGGUAUAGCUCUGUGGUAGAGCAUUCGACUGCAGAUCGAGAGCUUUCUGUUUCAACCCCGAGUGCCCUCU